UGGUCAAGCGGUUAAGACACCGCCCUUUCACGGCGGUAACACGGGUUCGAAUGUUCGAAUCCCGU
rnacentral:tRNA from 1 species